GACCCGAAACAGAGAAGCGAAGAGAAAAGAGUUUUGAGUCUUUCAGUUUUGCUCUCCCCUUUUCAAGCUCGUUAUCGUCCCAGGCGUUGCCCUGAAGAAUAGGUGCAAGUGAAGACCAAGAUGCAAACUGAAAGUGCUUUGUCAGUUACGGGGCCAAGGCCAAUGGAGUUGUCUGUUGUGCUUCCUAGGGGUCCGCAAGGACUUGGACCAAAUGGAAAACCACGGACAUCAAGCUUGGAGUCACCAAUUAUGUUGCUAUCUGGACAUCAAAGUGCGGUAUAUACUAUGAAGUUCAAUCCAGCAGGAACAAUCAUUGCAUCUGGUUCACAUGACAAAGAAAUCUUUCUUUGGAAUGUACGUGGUGAUUGCAAGAAUUUUAUGGUCUUGAAAGGGC
rnacentral:misc_RNA from 1 species